rnacentral:rRNA from 1 species
GACGAACUUUGGCGGCGUGCUUAACACAUGCAAGUCGAACGGAAAGGCCCUGCUUUUGUGGGGUGCUCGAGUGGCGAACGGGUGAGUAACACGUGAGUAACCUGCCCUUGACUUUGGGAUAACUUCAGGAAACUGGGGCUAAUACCGGAUAGGAGCUCCUGCUGCAUGGUGGGGGUUGGAAAGUUUCGGCGGUUGGGGAUGGACUCGCGGCUUAUCAGCUUGUUGGUGGGGUAGUGGCUUACCAAGGCUUCGACGGGUAGCCGGCCUGAGAGGGUGACCGGCCACAUUGGGACUGAGAUACGGCCCAGACUCCUACGGGAGGCAGCAGUGGGGAAUAUUGCACAAUGGGCGGAAGCCUGAUGCAGCAACGCCGCGUGCGGGAUGACGGCCUUCGGGUUGUAAACCGCUUUCGCCUGUGACGAAGCGUGAGUGACGGUAAUGGGUAAAGAAGCACCGGCUAACUACGUGCCAGCAGCCGCGGUGAUACGUAGGGUGCGAGCGUUGUCCGGAUUUAUUGGGCGUAAAGGGCUCGUAGGUGGUUGAUCGCGUCGGAAGUGUAAUCUUGGGGCUUAACCCUGAGCGUGCUUUCGAUACGGGUUGACUUGAGGAAGGUAGGGGAGAAUGGAAUUCCUGGUGGAGCGGUGGAAUGCGCAGAUAUCAGGAGGAACACCAGUGGCGAAGGCGGUUCUCUGGGCCUUUCCUGACGCUGAGGAGCGAAAGCGUGGGGAGCGAACAGGCUUAGAUACCCUGGUAGUCCACGCUGUAAACGGUGGGUACUAGGUGUGGGGUCCAUUCCACGGGUUCCGUGCCGUAGCUAACGCUUUAAGUACCCCGCCUGGGGAGUACGGCCGCAAGGCUAAAACUCAAAGGAAUUGACGGGGCCCCGCACAAGCGGCGGAGCAUGCGGAUUAAUUCGAUGCAACGCGUAGAACCUUACCUGGGUUUGACAUGGAUCGGGAGUGCUCAGAGAUGGGUGUGCCUCUUUUGGGGUCGGUUCACAGGUGGUGCAUGGCUGUCGUCAGCUCGUGUCGUGAGAUGUUGGGUUAAGUCCCGCAACGAGCGCAACCCUUGUUCACUGUUGCCAGCACGUUAUGGUGGGGACUCAGUGGAGACCGCCGGGGUCAACUCGGAGGAAGGUGGGGAUGACGUCAAGUCAUCAUGCCCCUUAUGUCCAGGGCUUCACGCAUGCUACAAUGGCUGGUACAGAGAGUGGCGAGCCUGUGAGGGUGAGCGAAUCUCGGAAAGCCGGUCUCAGUUCGGAUUGGGGUCUGCAACUCGACCUCAUGAAGUCGGAGUCGCUAGUAAUCGCAGAUCAGCAACGCUGCGGUGAAUACGUUCCCGGGGCU